UUGUCCUACGGGGGGCAGCAGUGAGGAAUAUUGGUCAAUGGGCGGGAGCCUGAACCAGCCAAGUCGCGUGAGGGACGACGGUCCUAUGGAUUGUAAACCUCUUUUGUCGGGGAACAAAGGCGUCCACGGGUGGGCGGAUGAGUGUACCCGAAGAAAAAGCAUCGGCUAACUCCGUGCCAGCAGCCGCGGUAAUACGGAGGAUGCGAGCGUUAUCCGGAUUUAUUGGGUUUAAAGGGUGCGUAGGUUGUUUUAUAAGUUAGCGGUGAAAUACCGAUGCUCAACAUCGGGGCUGCCGCUAAUACUGU
rnacentral:rRNA from 1 species